rnacentral:rRNA from 1 species
CCUACGGGUGGCAGCAGUGAGGAAUAUUGGUCAAUGGGCGGAAGCCUGAACCAGCCAAGCCGCGUGAAGGAAGAAGGCGCCAGGCAUGGUAAACUUCUUUUGUCGAGGGACAAAUGGCGCCGCGAGUGCCUGAGUGAGUGUACCCGAAGAAAAAGCAUCGGCUAACUCCGUGCCAGCAGCCGCGGUAAGACGGAGGAUGCGAGCGUUAUCCGGAUUUAUGGGGUUUAAAGGGUGCGUAGGCGGUCCGGUAAGUCAGCGGUAAAAGCCCGGGGCUCACCCCCGGCGAGCCGUUGAAACUGGCGGACUAGAGACGGCGAGAGGUACGCGGAAUGCGCAGUGUAGCGGUGAAAUGCAUAGAGAUCGCGCAGAACUCCGAUGGCGAAGGCAGCGUACCGGCGCCGGACUGACGCUGAGGCACGAAAGCGUGGGUAUCGAACAGGAUUAGAUACCCGUGUAGUC